GCUGUGAGUUGCAUCUGCCUGUAUUUAGGCCACUUUGGCUGUACUGCUGAAGGUAAUACAUUCUCUUUUGCAGUGGCCCUUUAUCUGUCCUUGCUGAACGUGCUCAUGCAUGUGGUGCCCUUUGAGGAGAAAAUCCCAUCUCGAGCUCUGUGCUCCUGCCACUCAUAUCAGUGCUGAAGUCUUUUUGUUUAGGUGACCGAUAGGAGAUCAUGAAGCCAUGGCUCACACGUGUAUUUUGUAGCAGUGUGCAGCUAACCAUGCUUCCCCCAGGCACUUAAGAUGAAGAGCUGCUCUUUUCUUUGGCUAUUUUGCACAUUCUCUUUGUCUCACAAGUAAGAGAAAAUUUUCUUUUAAAUCUUCAUUUUUAUUAAUAAGGCUUUUUCUUUACCAAUGACACUGAGGGAAACUAUUCUGAGUGGUUUUAAAUUAUAGGAAAUUAACAUUCAUCUGAAACCCUUGAAGUUCUUCAAACGGUUUCAUUUGGAGGUUGUCUGAACAGAUGCACUCCUGGGAUGCUCAUGUACUGUAAGUGCUUGGGGCUCUAUGGGGCUGGUGGUGGCUAUAUGAAGCUGCCCCACCUGAUGGGCUCAGUGGUCUCUGAUCAUACAGGAGCAGAAAGUUUGUGGAUGCAUCUCAGCUGAUCAAUUUACAUAAUGAUGUUGGUGGAAUAUCACUGUGUGUGGGAACUGCUGAGUCCCGGCCUGCACCACUGAUGGAGCACCUGGGAAAGGACCCGGUCAGCCCUGGGAGCACAGCUGGAGGCAAUUCAGCUGUGGGACUGGAAGGGGUGCAGCCUGGGUGCACCUCUCAUAGACCUCAUUUAAGGGCUGACUGCCCCUCGGGAAGGGUUUCUUCCUGGAGGUCCCUCCUUGGUGAGGCUUUCCCUGCAAACCUGCAAUCUUCUGACACGUAAGCCUUGGAAUGCUGCCUGUGCAGGGGAAGCACCUCGAUGAAUUGCCUGGGUGGUUUGAUGUGCUGCUCCCUAAUAGCACCAGUAAAAGGGGAAAGGUUUCAUGUGAUCCAGUUCUGUAGGACCCCAGUAGCACCAGGAGAGUGGGACGUGUGUCAUCCCUGCUGCAAUAAAAGAGCCAUUUGCUGAUGAGCAGCUCAUAGCAUCCGGCUGUCCUCAGCUGCCGCUUUGCUGUGUGCGGGGGAGCAGAGCAAGGUUUGUGUAAGCGGGGUGAUGAGUUACGGGAGAUGAAGGGGAUGGGAGACGUGGGAUUUCUACAACGCUACAGAAGCAGUGGAAAGGGGAGAUGGGCCGUUUUGAUCGUCACGCGGGCUGAGGAGAGGAGCAGCGCUGACAGCUCCGCAGAGCUCCCGCAAAGGGCGCAGAUGUUCCGGCGCGGCUCGAGGCGGCUGCGGGCGGGAAAUUUGAAAGCCGCGGCUGAUGUGGGAAACGCGAGGUGACCUCCAACGGCCGCGAGCGACCGUGAGGG
ensembl:lncRNA